UUUAGGAAAACGUCUUACCAUUUUUAUUUCGGUAAGACAUUUUCCAAAACUUUUCCAUCCCCCUUCUUUGCCACACCAAUUGUAUUGGUUAUUAGCCCCUUCCCCCUUUGAGAGACUUCGCCAAAGACAGCGUCCGCCUCGUCAAGUGUUGCCACAUCCCCGAUCGUAAAGUUCACGAAGGUGGCUUUUCGUACAGCAGUCGGUUUCGUAGUGAUGGGAUUCGUCGUAUUCUUCUUCAAGCUCAUCUUUAUUCCUAUUAACAACAUCAUCGUUGGCUCCGCUUAGGAAUUGCAGGCUCGUAGAAAUUGGUGGGGAUAUGACCGGUUGGCGUAGUUGCAGGUUCUCAUAAAAAAUGAAUGUUAGAAUGCAAAAGUUGGGGGGUGUCCCUCUUCCCUUCUCGUUUUACAUUUUAUUAGUUGAACUAAUAGUCGUGAAUCCGAAGCCAAAGCUUUCUUAACCAAAAGUAUGAAGCAUAGAAAAAUUUGGCUUCAAAAAUUUUCUCAAGGUUGAAGAUAUUGAUGCUUUAAUGUGGUGUAGGACUAAUUAUGUGGUAUAAUACUAGUUAUGCACUUGGACAAUGUUGUAGUUAUUAUGUGGUGUGCUACUAAUUAUGUAUUGGAUAAUAAUAUUCAUUUGUAAUAUUAAUUGUGGUUUGGAAGCUAAUUUAUUAUUAUUCAA